UACGGGAGGCAGCAGUGGGGAAUAUUGCACAAUGGGCGCAAGCCUGAUGCAGCCAUGCCGCGUGUAUGAAGAAGGCCUUCGGGUUGUAAAGUACUUUCAGUCGUGAGGAAGGUGUUAAGGUUAAUAACCUUAGCAAUUGACGUUAGCGACAGAAGAAGCACCGGCUAACUCCGUGCCAGCAGCCGCGGUAAUACGGAGGGUGCGAGCGUUAAUCGGAAUUACUGGGCUAAAGGGCACGCAGGCGGUUAAUUAAGUUGGAUGUGAAAUCCCCGGGCUUAACCUGGGAAUGGCAUUCAAGACUGGUUAGCUAGAGUCUUGUAGAGGGGGUAGAAUUCCAUGUGUAGCGGUGAAAUGCGUAGAGAUGUGGAGAAAUACCGGUGGCGAAGGCGGCCCCUGGACAAAGGACUGACGCUCAUGUGCGAAAGCGUGGGGAGCAAAC
rnacentral:rRNA from 1 species